GUAUUGCUGAGGGAGGAGGUAGCCAGGUGCUCUGAGGCCUCCGCACCCCCCCUUCCCCAGCCUCCCCAAACCCUCUGACCCCUGCGAGGAAGGCAGCUCUUCUUCCCCAGCUGUAGCCAAAUCCCAGCCCCUGCCCUCAGCACCCCGCCCCUGCAGGCCUCUCUCUCUGCUGUCUAAACCCUGACCUGGUCCCAGCGCGAAGCACAAACUGCUCUCUUCCUCCUGCCCUGGCUGUGACCUUAGACCCUGCAGGUUGGAGUCAGAGCCCCCAACUCCAGGCCUGGCCCUCCAGUUGCUCUACUACGGGGCUCCGGGCAACGGCCUGAGUGGCCAUGCCUCAGCUGCUUCUGUGCAGUGGCAGUGGCUGUACCUCUCAGAGGGGACAUGGCUGCCUCACGCUCUGUAACCGAGACCUGCGCUCCUGGCUGUCAGGCCCCUGGCCAGCGAGGGAGGCACGUUCUCUCGGACUCGGGCCAGCCUCGCCUUCUCCACUCCGCCUGCACGCCGUCCUUCCCCGCCUGCGAGGCUGGUCUCCGAGGCUACCUGUCACACAGGUCGUGGGCCUCUCCUGCGAGUAAGUGGACUUGGGGGUCACAGUCUUACUUCUGCAGUGGUCUUUCACUUCCAGACUAUACCCAGAAGGGAGUCUCAGUUUGGUUCCAGUGUGCCUUUAAUGCCUCUCAUCUGCUCACCUUAUUAACAGAGAGGUGGGAAGCACAGAGCUUCAGGGGACAACAGUUUCUAGCUAGACUUCGAUACCAGGUGCAGUUCGCGGUGUUUAUUUUUACUGUUGCUCUCUGUAUAUGGCAAGUGGGAACUUGCGUUACGGUGGGUAUACAGUUUCUUUAUGAAAUUACUUAAAAUGCUGAAUAAUUAGCUUGAGCAUGCAUGGCCAUAGCAUGAACUCGGAAAGGGGGGGGCAGAGGCCCCAGGAUACCAAGCACUAUGAGACCUUAGUGUGAACUCAGCUCUGUCCUAAGCACCCCCUGGCCCCUUUUUGAGGAACCUGGCUUUCCCCAUCUAUAAAAUAGAAAAGCCCUACAUGGCCCUAAUAUUCUUCAAGGCUUUUGCCUUCUAGUCUGAUCCUUCUGGUUCUCAGGAGAGAAGGGCCCAGACUAGUCCAGUCCAGGUCAUGGAGGGCAGAACAGAACCAGACCCCAGGUCAGCACCUGGCCACCUUCUCACCCAGCAAAGCCAUUUGCUCCCUGGGAAACAUACAGAGGCUACAAAUUCAGCCCCCUAGGAUGCCCUGCUCUCCUGCUUGUCCCCCACGCCCAGCCCUGGAAGGAGCGAGUGAGCCACUCGGAGGUGGAGACCCACCAUCCUAACCCCUCUGCUCCCAGCAGGCUCAGCAGUGAGGCACCUCCCACACUGUGCCUUUAAGAGACUGAGCCCUUGGUGCUGGGGAUACCUGUUGCUAUGGCGAUGGCAGCCUGGAUCCUGCAGUGGAGGGCAACAGCUGCCAGCCCCCCAUCCCUGUGGCUGGGGACCCUUAUAAGCCUGUCUACACCCUUGUCCCCCCACAGCCCACCAUCGUUUCAGCACCCUUUCCGUAAGUGGCCCUCUAACUCCACUUCCAUGCUGCCGGAAAUAGUCCAGGGUAAGAUUUCUGGGGCACCUAAGCUGGCACGAGGGAAGGCACGGAGGGUCCUGGCAAGGAGGAGGGAGAAUGCCUGGUCUCAGUCAACAACAGGUUCACCACUCAGAGCGGGACUGGCCUCCUUCCCUCCUCCCGAUGCAGCCCUCUUAGCUCUCCCCUUUCACUCAGCCACGUAUCCAUACUAGGUUGGAACCUCAAGCCUGGGCCUCCCCCAGGUCUUGGAUCCUUCUUCCCAGGGAGCUGGGUUCCUGUAAGACCAUGGACACCACCUGACAGGGGCGUCCCCAGAAGUGCUUACUGUGCCAGGCACCGUGCUGAGCAAUUCAAGUGCCAAUCUGGUUGAAUCCUCAGUGUUUCUAGGAGGCAGCCACUGUCCCAAGCACCUCCAUGGUACAGGUGAGGAAACAGGCUCAGAGAGCUUCAGCAACCUGCCCUGGGUCACACAGCCAGGCAGUGGAGAUGCUGGGGUCUGGAGCUCGAGGCUGAACCAGCAGGCAGCGCCACCUCUGGUGCAGGGUGAGAUGCAGGCUAGAGCAAGGCCAGAGGUGGAGAAGCGUGUCUGUUUGCACAUCAGGGUGAGGGGCUGAGAGACAGUCUCUGGUCCCACUCCUACUUGGAGAUGGCCCAAGUCACACAGGGGUGGGGGGCACCGUUUCCUGGAGGGUGAGGGUGCCCAGAGAAAGCUGCCUCCCCAGGUUGGAAGGACCAGGUCAGGACCAAAAUAGCUGGGGCACUGAAAGUGCCAGAUCCUUGCCUCAGGACCGCCAGGGAGCUGCCUAAAAGUGGCUGGGGUGUUGAGAGGAUCAGGACUGGGCAGAGAAAAGGGCCAAGUUCCCUGCUCUGGGAGUCCUCAGCAGUUGUUCCCCACAACACCAAGGUCCCCUUCCUGGCCUUCCCCAGGGCCCCAGCCCCCUGCACACCUAGGAUCUAGCAGGCACAGGCCCCUCUCUCCCCGGAGUGUACUCCUGCGCCAUCCCACCCUGGCUCCGCCUGGCAAGAACACCGGCUUUGUUCUGCUACCACAGCGCAGUUCUUCCUUUCCAACUAGAAUGCAGGCCGCUUCGCCCAUCCCUUUCAAAGCCAGCUCAGGCGGGUAAUAGGCUGGGCGGGACAAUGGUCUGGCUGAUGGACCACAGGCAUCCAAGUGGUGUAAGCCCAAGGGCUGUCUCUCCAACCAGUUCCAGCCCUGCGCCCCCAGAAAUUAAACAACAGCCCGUCCACAGGCCUUUCCCUGGUUGCUGUCCCAUUCAGGUGGCCCCAGAUCCUCAUGGCACCCUGGGGGGGCUUUCCUUCUCCCCUUUCAUAAAGGAAACAGGCUCAAGCAGGAAGGGGCUUGUCUCAGGCCCUCUGUGGCCAGCGGCCGGCUGGGGCUCGCACUCAAGCAGAUCCUGCUCCUGGAGGUGGAAGAGACCCGGACAUCCAUCCUUCUCCCCCAACCCUGGCACAGUGACCUCCUUCCUGCCAGCCCUGACCUCUGCAGUCUGCUCUGCCUGUCCUUCCUCAUCCUUCAGGUCUCUGGGCGCAGGUGCUGUGUGAUCUUGUUUAAUCUGAAUAGGUCUCACCGGUUUCCCAUCGUACAAACAAAACGGAGGCUCAGGGAGGUUACAUGCUUUACUGACGUCACAGUGAGGAAGGGGUGGGGACAGGAUUCAGACCCUGGCAGCCUGACCAGAGAGCCCCCUUCCACCUCCCAAACAACCAGACCUUGUCCUGC